ACAAACACAACCAAUCAUCAUCAAACUGUUCAUUUACCAAUACACAAAGAGGAUCUCUUAAUGCAAGCUUACGUAUAGUGAGAAGGAUGGUUAAAAGGCAAGAGACGACCUUCCUUGCGAAGCUUGGAGGAGAAAGAGAGCUGUUUCCAUGUAUAUACGGACUAGUGGUUCUUGGUCAACGCUGGCAACAAGAGAGGUGGCAGGUUUUGCAACUCAAGUGGCAUUCAAGCAUCAGUAGCGAGAAGCUGAGCAGGGUACUUGAACCUCUCUCUCGUUUGAAAGGUGUGAUUGUGAGAGGUAACCCACAAGCUUCUCUCGUGAGGAGUGGAACCUCCGGUGAGAUCUAGAGACCAAAAGAAAACGCCAUUGUAUGAUUCGUUUCUCACACAGCACAGGUACAUAAACAAACUUGGUCUUGAGUUUACAUAUGUGUGCCUCAACGUCAAACACUAUUGGUUUUCUUCAGCUUAAGUUUUUUUUUUUUUGUAAGCUAAUUCUUCAGCGUAAGUUGUUGCUUCACCAUCUUGUACCAGUAGAACGGAGAUUCAAUUGCCUUCUCACAGAACUCUCAGUUCCAAAAGCUUCUUUCCCCUUUUUUUUUGUUUUGUUUCUGGAUGUUAGCUUCUUUCUUGUCUUGGUGUGGAAAUAUAGAACGUACUCACUUCUUUUUUUUUCUUUAAUUAUGAAUUUUACUUUCAUUGGAUGAUUCCUAAAAAGACACUACGUUCUGAUAUGUAAAAUGUAGAAUCAUAAAACAUACUCCGCAAAUAAGUCAAAUUAUUAUAGCCUUUUAGAGUGGUUGACUGCUGUCUUGAUUACUACUAGUAUUAAUUACCACUAGAUCUGGACCCGCCCGACCGGGCGGGUGUAUUUUUCUGUUUACGUAAUGCAAUUAAAAAUUUUCACACCUUAUAUAAUGUAUCAAAUUUUUAUACAAAUGAUGACAAAAAUACAUCACAUAAUACAAA